GCCUGGAUGGCUCAGUCAGUUAAGCGUCUGACUUCGGCUCAGGUCAUGAUCUCAUAGUUCAUGGGUUCGAGCCCCGUGUCGGGCU
rnacentral:tRNA from 1 species